rnacentral:rRNA from 1 species
UACGGAGGGUGCAAACGUUGCUCGGAAUCAUUGGGCGUAAAGCGCACGUAGGUGGCCUGUUAAGUCGGGUGUGAAAUCCCUGGGCUCAACCCAGGAAGUGCACUCGAAACUGGCAGGCUUGAGUGCUGAAGAGGGUCGCGGAAUUCCCGGUGUAGAGGUGAAAUUCGUAGAUAUCGGGAGGAACACCAGUGGCGAAGGCGGCGACCUGGGCAGAUACUGACACUCAUGUGCGAAAGCGUGGGGAGCAAACAGG